AGCGAACGCUGGCGGCAGGCCUAACACAUGCAAGUCGAACGGAUCCUUCGGGAUUAGUGGCGGACGGGUGAGGAACACGUGGGAACGUGCCUUUUGGUUCGGAACAACUCAGGGAAACUUGAGCUAAUACCGGAUAAGCCCUUCGGGGAAAGAUUUAUCGCCAUUAGAGCGGCCCGCGUCUGAUUAGCUAGUUGGUGAGGUAAAGGCUCACCAAGGCAACGAUCAGUAGCUGGUCUGAGAGGAUGAUCAGCCACACUGGGACUGAGACACGGCCCAGACUCCUACGGGGAGGCAGCAGGGUAGGGGAAUUCGUUGCGACAAGUGGGACGGAAACGCCUGACGCACGCCAUCGCCGCGUAGAAUGAUAGGAAGGUU
rnacentral:rRNA from 1 species